rnacentral:rRNA from 1 species
ACAAGCGGUGGAGUAUGUGGUUAAUUCGAUGCAACGCGAAGAACCUUACCUGGUCUUGACAUCCCGGAGACCCUUAGGAAACUAGGGGUGCUUCCAUCUGGAAGAAUCUGGAGACAGGUGCUGCAUGGCUGUCGUCAGCUCGUGUCGUGAGAUGUUGGGUUAAGUCCCGCAACGAGCGCAACCCUUGCCUUUAGUUGCCAGCAGUUCGGCUGGGCACUCUAAAGGGACUGCCGGUGUUAAACCGGAGGAAGGUGGGGAUGACGUCAAGUCCUCAUGGCCUUUAUGACCAGGGCUACACACGUACUACAAUGGCCGGUACAAAGGGCAGCGACACUGCGAGGUGAAGCCAAUCCCGUAAAAUCGGUCUCAGUCCGGAUUGGAGUCUGCAACUCGACUCCAUGAAGUUGGAAUCGCUAGUAAUCGUGGAUCAGCAUGCCACGGUGAAUACGUUCCCGGGCCUU